UUCCGGUUGAUCCUGCCGGACCCGACUGCUAUCAGAGUGGGACUAAGCCAUGCGAGUCAACGUAGCAAUACGUGGCAUACGGCUCAGUAACACGUAGUCAACAUGCCCAGGGGACGAGGAUAACCUCGGGAAACUGAGGAUAAACCUCGAUAGGCCAUGAUUUCUGGAAUGAUUCUUGGCUCAAACCUAUAUGGCCCCUGGAUUGGACUGCGGCCGAUCAGGCUGUUGGUGAGGUAAUGGCCCACCAAACCUAUUACCGGUACGGGCUCUGAGAGGAGGAGCCCGGAGAUGGGCACUGAGACAAGGGCCCAGGCCCUAUGGGGCGCAGCAGGCGCGAAACCUCUGCAAUAGGCGAAAGCUUGACAGGGUUACUCUGAGUGAUUUCCGCUAAGGGAAUCUUUUGGCACCUCUAAAAAUGGUGCAGAAUAAGGGGUGGGCAAGUCUGGUGUCAGCCGCCGCGGUAAUACCAGCACCCCGAGUGGUCGGGACGAUUAUUGGGCCUAAAGCAUCCGUAGCCGGUCCUGCAAGUCUUCCGUUAAAUCCAGCUGCUCAACAGAUGGGCUGCGGGAGAUACUACAGGGCUAGGAGGCGGGAGAGGCAAACGGUACUUUAUGGGUAGGGGUAAAAUCCGCUGAUCCAUAGAAGACCACCAGUGGCGAAGGCGGCUUGCCAGAACGCGCUCGACGGUGAGGGAUGAAAGCUGGGGGAGCAAACCGGAUUAGAUACCCGGGUAGUCCCAGCUGUAAACGAUGCAGACUCGGUGAUGGGUUGGCCUCGCGCCUGCCCAGUGCCGCAGGGAAGCCGUUAAGUCUGCCGCCUGGGGAGUACGGUCGCAAGACUGAAACUUAAAGGAAUUUGGGGGGGGAGCA
rnacentral:rRNA from 1 species